rnacentral:rRNA from 1 species
AUUGAACGCUGGCGGCAGGCCUAACACAUGCAAGUCGAGCGGAUGAAGGGAGCUUGCUCCUGGAUUCAGCGGCGGACGGGUGAGUAAUGCCUAGGAAUCUGCCUGGUAGUGGGGGAUAACGUCCGGAAACGGGCGCUAAUACCGCAUACGUCCUGAGGGAGAAAGUGGGGGAUCUUCGGACCCCACGCUAUCAGAUGAGCCUAGGUCGGAUUAGCUAGUUGGUGGGGUAAAGGCCUACCAAGGCGACGAUCCGUAACUGGUCUGAGAGGAUGAUCAGUCACACUGGAACUGAGACACGGUCCAGACUCCUACGGGAGGCAGCAGUGGGGAAUAUUGGACAAUGGGCGAAAGCCUGAUCCAGCCAUGCCGCGUGUGUGAAGGAGGUCUUCGGAUUGUAAAGCACUUUAAGUUGGGAGGAAGGGCAGUAAGUUAAUACCUUGCUGUUUUGACGUUACCAACAGAAUAAGCACCGGCUAACUUCGUG